UGCCAGCAGCCGCGGUAACACGUACUGUGCGAACGUUAUUCGGAAUCACUGGGCUUAAAGGGUACGUAGGCGGCCUAUCAAGUCAGGUGUGAAAUCCCACGGCUCAACCGUGGAACUGCGCUUGGAACUGAUAGGCUUGAGUGAGACAGGGGUGUGUGGAACUUCUAGUGGAGCGGUGAAAUGCGUUGAUAUUAGAAGGAACACCGGUGGCGAAGGCGACACACUGGGUCUUAACUGACGCUGAGGUACGAAAGCUAGGGGAGCGAACGGGAUUAGAUA
rnacentral:rRNA from 1 species